AGAGUUUGAUCCUGGCUCAGGAUGAACGCUGGCGGCGUGCUUAACACAUGCAAGUCGAACGAACCUUCGGGUUAGUGGCGGACGGGUGAGUAACGCGUGGGAAUCUGCCCUCAGGAGGGGGAUAACGGUUGGAAACGACCGCUAAUACCCCAUAUGCCGAAAGGUGAAAUGAAUUUCGCCUGAGGAUGAGCCCGCGUCUGAUUAGCUAGUUGGUAGGGUAAUGGCCUACCAAGGCUUCGAUCAGUAGCUGGUCUGAGAGGAUGAUCAGCCACACUGGGACUGAGACACGGCCCAGACUCCUACGGGAGGCAGCAGUGGGGAAUUUUCCGCAAUGGGCGAAAGCCUGACGGAGCAACGCCGCGUGAGGGACGAAGGCCUCUGGGCUGUAAACCUCUUUUCUCAAGGAAGAAGAUAUGACGGUACUUGAGGAAUAAGCCACGGCUAAUUCCGUGCCAGCAGCCGCGGUAAUACGGGAGUGGCAAGCGUUAUCCGGAAUUAUUGGGCGUAAAGCGUCCGCAGGCGGCCUUCCAAGUCUGCUGUUAAAGCGUGGAGCUUAACUCCAUUAUGGCAGUGGAAACUGUAAGGCUUGAGUAUGGUAGGGGCAGAGGGAAUUCCCGGUGUAGCGGUGAAAUGCGUAGAUAUCGGGAAGAACACCAGUGGCGAAGGCGCUCUGCUGGGCCAUUACUGACGCUCAUGGACGAAAGCCAGGGGAGCGAAAGGGAUUAGAUACCCCUGUAGUCCUGGCCGUAAACGAUGAACACUAGGUGUCGGGGGAAUCGACCCCUUCGGUGUCGUAGCUAACGCGUUAAGUGUUCCGCCUGGGGAGUACGCACGCAAGUGUGAAACUCAAAGGAAUUGACGGGGGCCCGCACAAGCGGUGGAGUAUGUGGUUUAAUUCGAUGCAACGCGAAGAACCUUACCAGGGUUUGACAUCCUGCGAACCUCUUAGAAAUUUGAGGGUGCCUUCGGGAAUGCAGUGACAGGUGGUGCAUGGCUGUCGUCAGCUCGUGUCGUGAGAUGUUGGGUUAAGUCCCGCAACGAGCGCAACCCACGUUUUUAGUUGCCAGCAUUUAGUUGGGCACUCUAGAAAGACCGCCGGUGAUAAACCGGAGGAAGGUGUGGAUGACGUCAAGUCAUCAUGCCCCUUACACCCUGGGCUACACACGUACUACAAUGCUACGGACAAAGGGCAGCAAACUCGCGAGAGCUAGCAAAUCCCAUAAACCGUGGCUCAGUUCAGAUCGUAGGCUGCAACUCGCCUACGUGAAGUAGGAAUCGCUAGUAAUCGCAGGUCAGCAUACUGCGGUGAAUACGUUCCCGGGCCUUGUACACACCGCCCGUCACACCAUGGAAGUUGGCCAUGCCCGAAGUCGUUACUCCAACCCUUGUGGAGGAGGACGCCGAAGGUGGGGCUAAUGACUGGGGUGAAGUCGUAACAAGGUAGCCGUACCGGAAGGUGCGGCUG
rnacentral:rRNA from 1 species